rnacentral:rRNA from 1 species
CCUACGGGAGGCAGCAGUGAGGAAUAUUGGUCAAUGGACGAGAGUCUGAACCAGCCAAGUAGCGUGAAGGAUGACUGCCCUAUGGGUUGUAAACUUCUUUUAUAUGGGAAUAAAACGUUCCACGUGUGGGAUUUUGUAUGUACCAUAUGAAUAAGGAUCGGCUAACUCCGUGCCAGCAGCCGCGGUAAUACGGAGGAUCCGAGCGUUAUCCGGAUUUAUUGGGUUUAAAGGGAGCGUAGGUGGAUUGUUAAGUCAGUUGUGAAAGUUUGCGGCUCAACCGUAAAAUUGCAGUUGAAACUGGCAGUCUUGAGUACAGUAGAGGUGGGCGGAAUUCGUGGUGUAGCGGUGAAAUGCUUAGAUAUCACGAAGAACUCCGAUUGCGAAGGCAGUUCACUGGACUGCCACUGACACUGAGGCUCGAAAGUGUGGGUAUCAAACAGGAUUAGAUUCCCCAGUAGUC